rnacentral:rRNA from 1 species
CAGUAGCCGCGGUAAUACGUAGGUGGGAAGCGUUGUCCGGGAUUAUUGGGCGUAAAGGGCUCGCAGGAGGUUUCUUAAGUCUGAUGUGAAAGCCCCCGGCUCAACCGGGGAGGGUCAUUGGAAACUGGGAAACUUGAGUGCAGAAGAGGAGAGUGGAAUUCCACGUGUAGCGGUGAAAUGCGUAGAGAUGUGGAGGAACACCAGUGGCGAAGGCGACUCUCUGGUCUGUAACUGACGCUGAGGAGCGAAAGCGUGGGGAGCGAACAGGAUUAGAGACCCCUGUAGUCCCUGUCUCUUAUAU